UGGAGUCUUGGAUCACUAUGUGGAUGACCUCUUCAGCCCCGUGUUACACCAGGGCUCCAGGACACCAGUGAGUCCUCUGCUGUUCUCUCUGACUUCUUCUCUGCAGCUCUCCUCUCCCCAUGACUCCUUCUGUCCAUCCACUCUGCCUUGGCUCAGCUCAGACGUGCCUUUGGAUGGCACCUUCCUGGGAAGUCCGUCUGUCUGAGCUCAGACAGUGCUGUUUUUUUCUCUUGAUGCAGGAUUUGGAGAACAGGGAAAGCCUGACCGGGCGCAUGAAGGGAGGUGGGAAGAUCGGACCCACACAGAGAGGAAUGUUUCCUUCUACAGGCUUCUCUGGAAUGAUGCAAACACCAGUCUUCCAGCCCAUGCCUUCGAUGAUGGGGAUGCCAGCUGCCCCAGCCAUGAUGCCGGGGGCUGCUGGGAUUGCCCCUAUGCCAGCCAUGUACAUGCCCCAGCCCGUGGUGCCCACUGUAGAUCCCAGUCAGCUGGCAGCACAACAGCAAGCCUUUAUCAACCAGCAAGCCAUGCUCAUGGCUCAGCAGAUGACCCUUCAAGCCAUGAACCUUUCCCAGCAACAGCAGCAGCAGCAGCAGCAGCGACAACAGUGGCGUCAACAGCCUCCUGAGAGCUCAAGGCCAAGAGCCUCAAGCCCACCACGAAGCCAAGCCCCAACCCCGGCCCCGGCCCCAGCUACCUCCCCCAAACCCAAGAGGUCUCCCAGCAACCGAGAUGUGACACCACCACCAAAGGCGCCAGAGCCACCAGCUCAGCCAGAAAGACCGAUUUAUGACUCCAGCAGUGAAGAUGAUGACUAUCCUCGGGAAACUUUCCAGCAGAAGAGAGCUUUUUUUCAGAGGAUGGGUGAGUGUUGACCACUUUGGGAAUUCUACUUAUCGUAACUCCCUGUUCUGCAUCCUCCCAGGUGCAACAACUGGGUUGGGCAUCCAAGGCCAGGCUGAGUGGGGCCAUGGGCAGCCCC
rnacentral:lncRNA from 1 species